AGGUGCAAUGUGCAAUCUGAAAUAAUUUCUUUGUUAAUCUAAUAUUGUCACCCUUCUCAUUUCCCUUGCAGUGUUGGUUUGUUUUCAAAUCAUUGCGUUAUUUGGGAUUGUAUUUGCAUCGUAAGAGGUAUGUAUCCUGUGAGUGAUGGGGAUUUUAUCACUCCCUCCAGGUGGUGGGAGAUCACCCUAAUUUAUAGGUAUGGAAUAUUAGUGAAUAUAUAUAUAUAUAUGUACAUUGACAUUGUGUAUGUAUAUACCCCGUGAGUGAUGGGGAUUUUAUCACUCCAUCUGGGUGGUGGGAGAUCACCCUAAUUUAUAGGUAUGGAAUAUUAGUGAAUAUAUAUAUAUGUACAUUGACAUUGUGUAUGUACAUACCCCGUGAGUGAUGGGAAUUUUAUCACUCCCUCCGGGUGGUGGAAGAUCACCUUAAUUUAUGUGUU